CUGCUUUUCAUACAAAGUCCAUAAAGCCUUGGCGUAAUUCGCAGAUUCUCAGCCUUGAAACAAAACUUGUUUUCAGAAUUCUAUUGUUGAUAAGAAUUGAGGGGCAAAGAGGAUACUAAAUUCUUGUUCCAUAAGGGCUGUUUUUUUCCAGCCAGUUCCUUGUACCAUCCUUAAACGUUAAUCGGACUCCUUUCCAGUACAGGCAAAUUCAUUGAUCAAAGAGUUGUUAGAAUUUCAUUCUUUCUAUGUGAUGGCUAGCUUCACCAGUCUUUUCUGUGCUGUUCUCCUAGUUUUCUCAGAUUUACAAAGACGUUCGUACUGUGGAAUAUCAUUUUGGUUCUAAUAAUUGAAGUGGCACUGAAGUAAUUGAUCCAGGAAUAAAAAAGCAAAUUCUUACAAUGGAUAGGCAACAACAAAUCGAUCAACAUUGGUAUCAUUUGUUGGGUUAUGCCUUUAAUCCUGUUCAUAAAAUUCAAGAGCACAUUGAUUAUAUGUAUCAUUGGAUGAGUAGACUGGCUAUGAGUGGUGUUUACGAAUUCUACAUGGAACAUCAAAUAUUAAUCGUUCUCAAUUCUCUACCUGAGGAAUGGAUGUCGGUGCGACUAUCGUUGGAAUAUAGGCUGGAAUCCUUAGAUUUCAACAAUCUCGCAGAUGAAAUGCUGCUAGAGAGGGAACGUCAAUAUGCCGAAAAGGGUAUACGACGCACUGGAAGAAGCGCAAGUCGUUUGGAUGCUGCGGCUAAAUUCAUUCCAUGGUUUGAGCAGAAUGAACUUGGAGGAGUUGACUUUGAUGAAGUGGAUGACGUAAUUGGAGACCCUACUUAUGUGCCUACAAUAUAAAACAAUUCUGAAAUUUAUUAUUCUUAAUAUUGUAUUUUUUUAAAAAAAAGAUGAUUGGUUGUUUAAUUGUGAACUGAAUAUUUUAUGUAAUUUAAGUUUAAUUACAUUA